UCUCCGCUGGUGAACCAGCGGAGGGAUCAUUACCGAGUGCAAACUCAUAACCCUUUGUGAACCUAUAACUGUUGCUUCGGCGGCUCGCUCUCGGGCGAGCCCGCCGGUAAUAUCAGUAUCUCUGUUUGAACCCGACGAUACUUCUGAGUGUUCUUAGCGAACAGUUAAAACUUUUAACAACGGAUCUCUUGGCUCUA
rnacentral:misc_RNA from 1 species